rnacentral:rRNA from 1 species
AUUGAACGCUGGCGGCAGGCCUAACACAUGCACGUCGAGCGAGCGGCGGACGGGUGAGUCAUGUAUGGGGACUGCCCGAUAGAGGGGGAUAACUACUGGAAACGGUGGCUAAUACCGCAUACUAUCGGAUAACCCAUAUGGGAUUAGCUAGUCGGUGGGGUAAAGGUUCACCUAGGCGACGAUCUCUAGCUGGUCUGAGAGGAUGAUCAGCCACACUGGGACUGAGAAACGGCCCAGACUCCUACGGAGGCAGCAGUGGGGAAUAUUGCACAAUGGGCGCAAGCCUGAUGCAGCCAUGCCGCGUGUAUGAAGAAGGCCUUCGGGUUGUAAAGUACUUUCAGUCGGGAGGCGUUACCGACAGAAGAAGCACCGGCUAACUCCGUGCCAGAAGCCGCGGUAAUUC